GGUGUCAUUAUAAUGUGUGCAAGUAUUUGUAUAUGUGCGAAUGUUUAUAUGGUUCUCUACAUUCCUUGCCCCAGUAUUUUAAGAUAAUUUACUGAUACUUGAUAACUCUUCUAUUUUGACAUGUUUGGGUGUACUUGAUAUGACAGCCUCCAUUUGGACUGAUUGUAGUCCUUGAAAUGGAUUUAUAUGAUUUCGCCAGAUCAUGUGUAAAUUGAAUGAUACAGUGAACCAUUGCCUACCAUAUUGAUCUCUGGCCUGGGAACAUGAGGAGUCUCCUCUAGUCUCCUAUCUGAUUUAUUGUACCCUUCCCUGUAUGUUUACAGGAACAUAGACCUGUACAUAUAUUGAUGGUACAUGUUUCAAAAUGUCUUGCUUAAUUUAUGCUUACAAACAUUCUUAAAGAAGAAAACUGCAGUGUAAUUUCAAGCUGUAGGGGAAGAAUUCAUUUUGUAUCCGAGCUUAAAUUUGCUGAAUAAAGAAACCCCACAGGUCUUCUUCCAUAUACCAGAACAUCUAUGUUAUAAGAUGUAAUAGUUAUGCUAUAGAACUGAUAUAUUAGAUUUAAAUUUAAAACUUUUAAAUUGAAAUGCAGUUUACGUACUAUAACUUAAUAGUUUUCUGUGUUUAUUGUGUACCGUAAUCAUGAGACGUCAUAUAGCAACAUCAUUGAUUUUUUUAAGAGAUCAAAAUAUAGACCCUUCUCAAUCAGAAAUACCCAUGCAAUUAAUCUCUUAUCAUAAGGAUAAAUACUUUUGGUGAUAUAUUCAAAUAAUGGAGCAGUAGUGUGUCCAUUCAGAUCCCAUGAUGAGAGUUAGGGACAUCAAACCUUGACCCAUUUCAAAGCUGCACUUUUUUACCUAUAGGACUUGGUGUGACAUUUUUUAUGGCCACUUUCAUCUGGUGUUCAUUGUCACUGGAAAUUUCUUUGCUAUAAAACAGACAACAAACUUCAGAGUUUGUAGAUCUGCUAACCUGCGGCUCUUUAAGAUAUAGAUUAAAUAUUGCAGCCCGGGUUGUCAUUGCCGUCUAUACCUACAUUGUGUUUAUUAAUGUGUAUGCUUUACAUUUGUGUCAUUAGAUCGAUGAAUAUUUACACUCCAAAAACUUUAAUUGCACAAAGAUAAGUACAGGUACUUAGAAUGACCAUAGAAUACUAGAUGAACUAUUUUCUGAACUGUUGCCUUGCUUGAUCAUUGUAUUCAUUAUUGAUUUAAGAUAUUAUUUUCCUUUAUUUAUUUGUGUGCAAUGCUUGAAAGUACCGAAUAUCUUCUGAGUUUCGUAGAUGAUAUCUGUAGAGGUGUUUUCCUAGCUCUGUGAUAGUCCGACUGUGCUGUGUGUAUGUGUGCAGUCCCGUUACUUUAUUAUAUCUACAUGUACAUGUAUGCUUUGGUUGUUGAUUUGUUAUUCAUGUAAAGUUUUUGAAAAU
rnacentral:misc_RNA from 1 species